UGUAAGAGGCUUAUUGUCAUGACGAUAUCUGGAUAAAGAAGGAGCUGCGCGGUUUAACUUUCAAGUGAGUGUGAAGAAUCGAACGUAUAGCUGAGGGCUGGUGAGACAAAGUGCAGACAACUAACUACUGGAGAGCUCAAAGCGUUUGGCUGCUUCUUCCAGAGGGAUGCGUGCAUAAUCGCGCCUGCGCGUGAGCGUCUGUGCAGAUUUAAAAGCGGGUGAUGAAGAGGGAGCUACUUAAAGAGCAAGCCCCGAAGUGCCCGUAGGAGACCUGAUCAUCGAGGCCGCCAGUGUGGCAGAGGUACCCCUGAGAAAGAACGGCACUGCACACCGCUCCCACUUUGCAAACUUCUCCAGGUGGUGAAAGAGUCCAGACCUGGGCAGGAAGGAGUCCUCUCUCCAGAAGUUAAGCUAAAGUAGGAAUUUAGCUCAGCUGAGCAGACAUUUUACUGAGUGCCUCACAUGUGCACACAUAGCCUCGAGUAACACCGAUGGAAGGAGUGACCCAACGCUGCCCGCAAAUCCUUUGCAAUGAGUGCGGUUGGUAAGAGGGGUCUGAGGGUGCGGAGAUGAACAACCUACCCCAUCUCCGGGACACAGGGCGACUUGUUCCUGAGACAUGCAAGGCUUGGUGGACUGAGCAGCGCUCAAGGGCGAAGCUUUCCUUUAAAGGUACUUCUAAGAUGCAUUUCAAAGAUGAAGAAGCAUCUUUUGUGCUCUCUGCCAGCCAAGGAUCCUUAAGAUUGAAAGUGAAGGAGUCAAGACGGCAGACCCAUCUCAGAGAUCAAGUGAAAUAGACAAGUGAAGA